rnacentral:lncRNA from 1 species
AUUUUAAAAUUUACAGCAACCAGAGGUGUCACAUAAGAAAAACUCGAACUGAGGUCCGUCAACACAUAAUCAAAAUAGAAAACAUGGAGCAUACCAGAGACAACAUCGGGAGAGUACUCCUGCUCCUAAUGAGAUGGUAUAACAUAUAAACAAUUCUGGCAUUGACCGCCAGCAGUACUAGAUGAAGCACUUUGAGGAGGAACUGGAUGGGCUGUGGGAGGCGGGGCACUGGUA